UGUAGGACCCAGGCAAAGGCGGGCAAAGUGUAGAGGAAGCUGCUGUCCCUGGUGAAGAAUGCCAGGACACAACUCUUGGUUAAGCUGGACACUGUGGACACCUUUAUGUCAGUUUGUCACUCUACUGGCUUAAUACGACCUACCGCAACUUAUAUCACACUUCAUGUCUGCCCUUCAACGUUUGUGAAAAUUUUUCCUUUGGCCAUCUCUACCCUGUUAUAACACAAAGGUGAAAGAGCCUCAGUCAACAAAAAUUAAAACCAGCGAGUAUGGUGGCCACUGUGGAGAAGUCUGGCCCCUCUCCAGAAAGAGGCCUGGAUGUUCCCUCUGCUGACCUCCUCAGAAAUAUGCGGCCUCCCGCUGGACAGCCCAUGCUUGCAUCCUCUGGGGACACAAGGCGUGGCCAAGGUGGGAUGGCUGUCUUUAGUGACACCUACUGAUAAGAGCCAAUCGGAACCAUGGCCGAAUUCCUUUGGGCUGGACCUGCCAACAAACUGCUCAGCCCUCCAGAUGUUGCUGCUUUGUGAGAAAUGAGAACUCAAUAAACCAGGCUCACCCUUCCUCCUGGGGUGAGCGCAAAGACAGUCAGAUAUGGAAAAUCACUGCUCCGCACCAUGAACAAUGCACGCAAACGAGGGGAUGGGCCCGACCGUAUUUGUCUUGGUGGAACAGACAGCCAUGAAGCCUGAUGCAAGAAUUUUAGCUGGCAACCGUUCAAAAUGUGACUAUACAUUGCAAUUGCUCAACAAAAGGGGGCCCUUAGCCGGGAGAAAGCCCAAAAAUAGGCUUAAAGAACUAGCUAGAGGAGCUUGUAAAAAGGGUUAAAUAUGUAUCACACAUGACUUUAUGAUGCUGAACGUUUCUCCACCUUCUGUGUUUUUCACAUUUCAUUCUUUGGUGUUAUGUAAUAAAUCAGAAAGAUGCAGCAGUAAAUAGCCUCAUGG